rnacentral:rRNA from 1 species
GACGUAGGGCGCGAGCGUUGUCCGGAAUUAUUGGGCGUAAAGAGCUCGUAGGCGGUUUGUCGCGUCUGCUGUGAAAAUCCAGGGCUUAACCCUGGACCUGCAGUGGGUACGGGCAGACUGGAGUGCGGUAGGGGAGAUCGGAAUUCCUGGUGUAGCGGUGAAAUGCGCAGAUAUCAGGAGGAACACCGGUGGCGAAGGCGGAUCUCUGGGCCGUAACUGACGCUAAGGAGCGAAAGCAUGGGGAGCGAACAGG